rnacentral:tRNA from 1 species
GUUUCUAUAGUAUAUUAUAACAAUACACUACGUUUUCACUGUAGAGAAGGUGAUUCCACCUAGGGAUU